rnacentral:rRNA from 1 species
GGGGGAUAUUGCACAAUGGGGGAAACCCUGAUGCAGCGACGCCGCGUGGAGGAAGAAGGUUUUCGGAUUGUAAACUCCUGUCGUUAGGGACGAUAAUGACGGUACCUAACAAGAAAGCACCGGCUAACUACGUGCCAGCAGCCGCGGUAAAACGUAGGGUGCAAGCGUUGUCCGGAAUUACUGGGUGUAAAGGGAGCGCAGGCGGGAAGACAAGUUGGAAGUGAAAACCAUGGGCUCAACCCAUGAAUUGCUUUCAAAACUGUUUUUCUUGAGUAGUGCAGAGGUAGAUGGAAUUCCCGGUGUAGCGGUGGAAUGCGUAGAUAUCGGGAGGAACACCAGUGGCGAAGGCGGUCUACUGGGCACCAACUGACGCUGAGGCUCGAAAGCAUGGGUAGCAAACAGGAUUAGAUACCCUGGUAGUCCAUGCCGUAAACGAUGAUUACUAGGUGUUGGGGGAUUGACCCCCUCAGUGCCGCAGUUAACACAAUAAGUAAUCCACCUGGGGAGUACGACCGCAAGGUUGAAACUCAAAGGAAUUGACGGGGGCCCGCACAAGCAGUGGAGUAUGUGGUUUAAUUCGAAGCAACGCGAAGAACCUUACCAGGUCUUGACAUCCGAUGCAUAACACAGAGAUGUGUGAAAUCCUUCGGGACAUCGAGACAGGUGGUGCAUGGUUGUCGUCAGCUCGUGUCGUGAGAUGUUGGGUUAAGUCCCGCAACGAGCGCAACCCUUAUUGCCAGUUACUACGUUAAGAGGACUCUGGCGAGACUGCCGUUGACAAAACGGAGGAAGGUGGGGAUGACGUCAAAUCAUCAUGCCCUUUAUGACCUGGGCUACACACGUACUACAAUGGCGUUAAACAAAGAGAAGCAAGACCGCGAGGUGGAGCAAAACUCAAAAACAACGUCUCAGUUCAGAUUGCAGGCUGCAACUCGCCUGCAUGAAGUCGGAAUUGCUAGUAAUCGUGGAUCAGCAUGCCGCGGUGAAUACGUUCCCG